rnacentral:lncRNA from 1 species
UUCCUCGCGCGCCCUAUUUUUUUUUUCAAAGAUGCCCUUGAGUUUCCGAAUUUCAUAAUCCGGAAUGGUAUUUUCCUUUGUUAUAGGGUGAAAAAUGGAGUUACGGGUUUUUUCGGAUUUUGUAAUCCGAAAACUUCAAAAAAUAGGGCGUGUUACAUGAUGUUUCCAGAUUACAUAAUCCGGAAACCCCCUAAACACCCUUUUUCAAGGUAAAACAAUUCGGAUUAUAUAAUCUGAACUGUAUCAGCACAAAUUCUAAACAUGUUUGUAACAUGAAUAGUCAUUUUAGGGACAAUAUUAAUCUUCCUAACUCUCAUCAUUCCGUUUUUGGGUCAUUGUUACUUGUUCUUAGUCAAAAAUCGGGUUUUCGGGCUACUUGA